rnacentral:rRNA from 1 species
GACGAACGCUGGCGGCGGGCUUAACACAUGCAAGUCGAACGAAGUGGCGAACGGGUGAGUAAUACGUGAGUAACUUGCCCUCCUGUUGGGGAUAAUACCUGGAAACGGGGUCUAAUAACGAAUCAAGGGGGAUGGGCCCGAGGCCUAUAGGCUUGAUGGUGGGGUGAAGACCUACCAAGGCGGUGACGGGUAGCCGGGUAGGGAGGGUGACCGGCAGCAUGGGAACUGGGAUACGCCCCAGGCUGCUACAGGAGGCAGCAGUGGGGGAUAUUGGACGAUAGGCGAAGGGCUGAUGCAGCGACGCCGCGUGGGGGAUUAAGGCUUUCGUGUUUUAGACCUCUGUCGCGAUCGAACGGGUAGGUGGAGAAGAAGCGCCGGCUAACUACGUGCCAGCAGCCGCGGUAAUUC